ensembl:snRNA U6 U6 spliceosomal RNA
GUGCCCACGUCGACAACACAUACACUAAAAUUGGAAUGAUAGAGAGAAUAUUAGCAUGGCCCCUGGGCAAGGACAACACUCAAAUUUGUGAAGUAUUCCAUAGUUUU